GUGACAGUGUGCGCAGGCGGGGACCAUCCUGCACGUGUCAGCCUGGGCCACGGCGGUGCGCGCGAACUUCAAGAACAACCAGGAGAUAGGCUGCUUCACCAAGCUCACCAAGGCCUACUGCCUGACGGCAUGGGUGGCACCGAGAGCUUC